UACAGAGGGUGCGAGCGUUGUUCGGAAUCACUGGGCGUAAAGCGCGCGCAGGCGGGCGUGUAAGUCAGAAGUGAAAUUCCGGGGCUCAACCCCGGAGCUGCUCCUGAUACUGCACGUCUGGAGACCGGUAGAGGCUGGUGGAAUUCCCGGUGUAGCGGUGGAAUGCGUAGAGAUCGGGAAGAACACCCGUGGCGAAGGCGGCCAGCUGGGCCGGUUCUGACGGCUGAGGCGCGAAAGCGUGGGGAGCAAACAGGG
rnacentral:rRNA from 1 species